UUAAGCGACCAAGCGUACACGGUGGAUGCCCUGGCAGUCAGAGGCGAUGAAGGACGUGCUAAUCUGCGAAAAGCGCCGGUAAGGUGAUAUGAACCGUUAUAACCGGCGAUGUCCGAAUGGGGAAACCCAGUGUGACUCGUCACACUAUCAUUAACUGAAUCCAUAGGUUAAUGAGGCGAACCGGGGGAACUGAAACAUCUAAGUACCCCGAGGAAAAGAAAUCAACCGAGAUUCCCCCAGUAGCGGCGAGCGAACGGGGAGGAGCCCAGAGCCUGAAUCAGUAUGUGUGUUAGUGGAAGCGUCUGGAAAGGCGCGCGAUACAGGGUGACAGCCCCGUACACAAAAGCGCAUGUGCUGUGAGCUCGAUGAGUAGGGCGGGACACGUGGUAUCCUGUCUGAAUAUGGGGGGACCAUCCUCCAAGGCUAAAUACUCCUGACUGACCGAUAGUGAACCAGUACCGUGAGGGAAAGGCGAAAAGAACCCCGGCGAGGGGAGUGAAACAGAACCUGAAACCGUGUACGUACAAGCAGUGGGAGCCCCACCACUAAGCCAGUGGUGAACUCCACAUACGCAUCCUUUGCGGAAGAUACGGUUAACGGAGCGAAAGCGACGUUCAACCGCAAAAGAAGCAGAGGGGGCUUAGUGGUGGGGUGACUGCGUACCUUUUGUAUAAUGGGUCAGCGACUUAUAUUCUGUAGCAAGGUUAACCGUAUAGGGGAGCCGCAGGGAAACCGAGUCUUAAUUGGGCGUUAAGUUGCAGGGUAUAGACCCGAAACCCGGUGAUCUAGCCAUGGGCAGGUUGAAGGUUGGGUAACACUAACUGGAGGACCGAACCGACUAAUGUUGAAAAAUUAGCGGAUGACCUGUGGCUGGGGGUGAAAGGCCAAUCAAACCGGGAGAUAGCUGGUUCUCCCCGAAAGCUAUUUAGGUAGCGCCUCGUGAAUUCAUCUCCGGGGGUAGAGCACUGUUUCGGCCAGGGGGCCAUCCCGGCUUACCAACCCGAUGCAAACUGCGAAUACCGGAGAAUGUUAUCACGGGAGACACACGGCGGGUGCUAACGUCCGUCGUGAAGAGGGAAACAACCCAGACCGCCAGCUAAGGUCCCAAAGUCAUGGUUAAGUGGGAAACGAUGUGGGAAGGCCCAGACAGCCAGGAUGUUGGCUUAGAAGCAGCCAUCAUUUAAAGAAAGCGUAAUAGCUCACUGGUCGAGUCGGCCUGCGCGGAAGAUGUAACGGGGCUAAACCAUGCACCGAAGCUGCGGCAGCGAACGUAUCACUUAAAGCGAUUCAGCGGAUGACGAUUGACGGAGCGAAGCGACGUCAAAGCGUUUUACAACGUCGAGUCGGUUUAAGGAUACGUUCGUUGGGUAGGGGAGCGUUCUGUAAGCCUGCGAAGGUGUGUCGUGAGGCAUGCUGGAGGUAUCAGAAGUGCGAAUGCUGACAUAAGUAACGAUAAUGCGGGUGAAAAACCCGCACGCCGGAAGACCAAGGGUUCCUGUCCAACGUUAAUCGGGGCAGGGUGAGUCGACCCCUAAGGCGAGGCCGAAAGGCGUAGUCGAUGGGAAACAGGUUAAUAUUCCUGUACCUGGUGUUACUGCGAAGGGGGGGACGGAGAAGGCUAUGUUGGCCGGGCGACGGUUGUCCCGGUUUAAGCGUGUAGGCUGGUUUUCCAGGCAAAUCCGGAAAAUCAAGGCUGAGGCGUGAUGACGAGGCACUACGGUGCUGAAGCAACAAUGCCCUGCUUCCAGGAAAAGCCUCUAAGCCUCAGGUAACAUCAGAUCGUACCCGAAACCGACACAGGUGGUCAGGUAGAGAAUACCAAGGCGCUUGAGAGAACCCGGGUGAAGGAACUAGGCAAAAUGGUGCCGUAACUUCGGGAGAAGGCACGCUGACACGUAGGUGAAGCGGUUUACCCGUGGAGCUGAAGUCAGUCGAAGAUACCAGCUGGCUGCAACUGUUUAUUAAAAACACAGCACUGUGCAAACACGAAAGUGGACGUAUACGGUGUGACGCCUGCCCGGUGCCGGAAGGUUAAUUGAUGGGGUCAGCGCAAGCGAAGCUCCUGAUCGAAGCCCCGGUAAACGGCGGCCGUAACUAUAACGGUCCUAAGGUAGCGAAAUUCCUUGUCGGGUAAGUUCCGACCUGCACGAAUGGCGUAAUGAUGGCCAGGCUGUCUCCACCCGGGACUCAGUGAAAUUGAACUCGCUGUGAAGAUGCAGUGUACCCGCGGCAAGACGGAAAGACCCCGUGAACCUUUACUAUAGCUUGACACUGAACACUGGUCCCUUGAUGUGCAGGAUAGGUGGGAGGCUUUGAAGUGUGGACGCCAGUCUGCAUGGAGCCGUCCUUGAAAUACCACCCUUUAAUGGCUGGUGUUCUAACGUAGACCCGUGAACCGGGUUGCGGACAGUGUCUGGUGGGUAGUUUGACUGGGGCGGUCUCCUCCUAAAGCGUAACGGAGGAGCACGAAGGUUGGCUAAUCCUGGUCGGACAUCAGGAGGUUAGUGCAAUGGCAUAAGCCAGCUUGACUGCGAGCGUGACGGCGCGAGCAGGUGCGAAAGCAGGUCAUAGUGAUCCGGUGGUUCUGAAUGGAAGGGCCAUCGCUCAACGGAUAAAAGGUACUCCGGGGAUAACAGGCUGAUACCGCCCAAGAGUUCAUAUCGACGGCGGUGUUUGGCACCUCGAUGUCGGCUCAUCACAUCCUGGGGCUGAAGUAGGUCCCAAGGGUAUGGCUGUUCGCCAUUUAAAGUGGUACGCGAGCUGGGUUUAGAACGUCGUGAGACAGUUCGGUCCCUAUCUGCCGUGGGCGCUGGAGAACUGAGGGGGCCUGCUCCUAGUACGAGAGGACCGGAGUGGACGCAUCACUGGUGUUCGGGUUGUCAUGCCAAUGGCACUGCCCGGUAGCUAAAUGCGGAAGAGAUAAGUGCUGAAAGCAUCUAAGCACGAAACUUGCCCCGAGAUGAGUUCUCCCUGAGACUACAAGUCUCCUGAAGGAACGUUGAAGACGACGACACGUUGAUAGGCCGGGUGUGUAAGCGCAGCGAUGCGUUGAGCUAACCGGUACUAAUGAAACCGUGAGGCUUAACCUU
rnacentral:rRNA from 1 species